GGGCCCUUAGCUCAGUUGGUUAGAGCACUCGGCUCAUAACCGAUCGGUCGCAGGUUCGAGUCCUGCAGGGCCCA
rnacentral:tRNA from 1 species